rnacentral:rRNA from 1 species
UCCAGACUCCUACGGGAGGCAGCAGUGAGGAAUAUUGGUCAAUGGGCGGGAGCCUGAACCAGCCAAGCCGCGUGAAGGAAGAAGGCGCCAAGCGUCGUAAACUUCUUUUGUCGGGGAACAAAGGGCGCCACGUGUGGCGUUGUGAGUGUACCCGAAGAAAAAGCAUCGGCUAACUCCGUGCCAGCAGCCGCGGUAAUACGGAGGAUGCGAGCGUUAUCCGGAUUUAUUGGGUUUAAAGGGUGCGUAGGCGGGCUUUUAAGUCAGCGGUAAAAAUUCGGGGCUCAACCCCGUCCGGCCGUUGAAACUGGGGGCCUUGAGUGGGCGAGAAGAAGGCGGAAUGCGUGGUGUAGCGGUGAAAUGCAUAGAUAUCACGCAGAACUCCGAUUGCGAAGGCAGCAUACCGGCGCCCAACUGACGCUGAAGCACGAAAGCGUGGGUAUCGAACAGGAUUAGAUACCCGUGUAA